UCAUAUGCUUGUCUCAAAGAUUAAGCCAUGCAUGUCUAAGUAUAAGCAAUUAUACCGUGAAACUGCGAAUGGCUCAUUAAAUCAGUUAUCGUUUAUUUGAUAGUACCUUACUACUUGGAUAACCGUGGUAAUUCUAGAGCUAAUACAUGCUGAAAACCCCGACUUCGGGAGGGGUGUAUUUAUUAGAUAAAAAACCAACGCCCUUCGGGGCUUCUUGGUGAUUCAUGAUAACUUCACGGAUCGCAUGGCCUUGCGCCGGCGACGGUUCAUUCAAAUUUCUGCCCUAUCAACUUUCGAUGGUAAGGUAUUGGCUUACCAUGGUUUCAACGGGUAACGGGGAAUUAGGGUUCGAUUCCGGAGAGGGAGCCUGAGAAACGGCUACCACAUCCAAGGAAGGCAGCAGGCGCGCAAAUUACCCAAUCCCGACACGGGGAGGUAGUGACAAUAAAUACUGAUACAGGGCUCUUUUGGGUCUUGUAAUUGGAAUGAGUACAAUUUAAACCUCUUAACGAGGAACAAUUGGAGGGCAAGUCUGGUGCCAGCAGCCGCGGUAAUUCCAGCUCCAAUAGCGUAUAUUAAAGUUGUUGCAGUUAAAAAGCUCGUAGUUGAAACUUGGGCCUGGCUGGCAGGUCCGCCUCACCGCGUGUACUUGUCCGGCCGGGCCUUUCCUUCUGGAGAACCUCAUGCCCUUCACUGGGUGUGUUGGGGAACCAGGACUUUUACUUUGAAAAAAUUAGAGUGUUCAAAGCAGGCCUUUGCUCGAAUACGUUAGCAUGGAAUAAUAGAAUAGGACGUGCGGUCCUAUUUUGUUGGUUUCUAGGACCGCCGUAAUGAUUAAUAGGGACAGUCGGGGGCAUCAGUAUUCAAUUGUCAGAGGUGAAAUUCUUGGAUUUAUUGAAGACUAACUACUGCGAAAGCAUUUGCCAAGGAUGUUUUCAUUAAUCAGUGAACGAAAGUUAGGGGAUCGAAGACGAUCAGAUACCGUCGUAGUCUUAACCGUAAACUAUGCCGACUAGGGAUCGGGCGAUGUUCUUUUUCUGACUCGCUCGGCACCUUACGAGAAAUCAAA
rnacentral:rRNA from 1 species